UUUUUUUUUUUCUCCCUCCCCACUUCCAGGAUGAAGAAGGGAGGGAGGAAAAAAAAGUAG
rnacentral:miRNA from 1 species